UAAGCGGAGGAAAAGAAAACAACAGUGAUUCCCUUAGUAACGGCGAGUGAAAAGGGAGGAGCCCAGCACCGAAUCGCGUGCCUGCGCAAGUGGGUACGCGAAAUGUGGUGUUAGGAAAGGAUUGCUUUUGCUCCGUGCGUCUGUUUGCCGGUGUCCAAGUCCGAUCGAAAGCGGCGGCCUCGUUGCCCAUAGAGGGUGCAAGGCCCGUGGGACUGGUGCAGGCGUGCGGGAGUGAUCCUCUCCGUGGAGUCGGGUUGCUUGAAAGUGCAGCCCAAAGUGGGAGGUAAACUCCUCCUAAGGCUAAAUAUCACCACGAGACCGAUAGUGAACAAGUACCGCGAGGGAAAGUUGAAAAGAACUCUGAAGAGAGAGUUCAAGAGUGCGUGAAACCGCUCAGGGGUAAACAGUUGGAACAGCCGAAGCUCGAAAGGAGGGAUCUCCGGAUCGCUUGAGCGGAAAUGUCCCCAGUCGGUGCAUGCUGCAGUUGACAUGUGCUCCGCGCGCGUGUCGCUGUAGUGUUGUUGCCUGCUGGUGCGGGCGUCCGUUCGCGGUUCUUACGGCCCUCUCAGUAGGACGUCGCGACCUGUGGGUCCAGCCAAGGCGAUCGUGCGGAUCCAAGGUAUGCUUCUCCGUCUGGACAUGGCGCCUGCUCGCGUUUCGGCGCGGCAGGUGUCGUGGGCAAGUUCGGUGACCUGUUAGUAGCCUCGCUGCUGCUGCAGGUUGCCAGGCCUUUCGGAACUCCGUCUUGUUUGCCUGCCUACAGUGUUGAAUGGCAAGACGGUGCCAACGCUCGGUCGAUGUCUCGUGUCAUCCCGAGCGCGUGCUGGCGGCGGCUCAGCUGCUGUCGGGAGCGCAUUCCGGUUGAUACCUUCGGGUAUCCCGGGUGCGCAGCUCGCUUCACGGCGGUCUCGACAGUCGGUUUCUUGCUCUGCUUAGCCGGCAUGGCACUGUCAAGUCUGCGGCGAUUAGGAUUGUGGUUCCACCUGACCCGUCUUGAAACACGGACCAAGGAGUCUAACAUGUGCGCGAGUCACUGGGCUUAAACCCCCAAAGGCGCAGCGAAAGCGAAGGUCUGCUUUGCAGGCUGAGGGGAGAUCCGUUCCAUUGGUCUAAUGCCGUGGCGGCGCAUCCCCGGGGCGUUUGCGAUGCGGCCCGGCUUGCCGGGUCGCUGGCGGGCGCACCAAGAGCGUACAUGUUGGGACCCGAAAGAUGGUGACCUAUGCCCGGCCAGGACGAAGCCAGGGGAAACUCUGGUGGAGGUCCGCAGCGAUUCUGACGUGCAAAUCGAUCGUCUGAGCCGGGUAUAGGGGCGAAAGACUAAUCGAACCAUCUAGUAGCUGGUUCCCUCCGAAGUUUCCCUCAGGAUAGCUGGCGCUCGAGUGAAGGAGUCUCAUCCGGUAAAGCGACUGAUUAGAGGCUUUGGGGUCGCAAUGACCUCGACCUAUUCUCAAACUUUAAAUGGGUGAGAAGCAGGGCAUUCCUAAAUAGGCGAUGCCCUGUGUACUUUCGGAUCUAUGAGUGCCCAGUGGGCCAAUUUUGGUAAGCAGAACUGGCGCUGUGGGAUGAACCAAACGCCAGGUUAAGGUGCCGGAGUUGACGCGCAUCAGAUACCACUAAAGGCGUCGGUGGCUAAAGACAGCAGGACGGUGGCCAUGGAAGUCGGUAUCCGCUAAGGAGUGUGUAACGACUCACCUGCCGAAGCGACCGGCCCUGAAAAUGGAUGGCGCUUCAGCGUCGCACCCAUACCUGGCCGUCGGGCUAGAGCACGUGUCGGUCGGUUUCGGCCGGCUGGCACGCUUGAGAGGCCGGCGAGUAGGAGGGAGCGCGGCGGUGUGCGUUGAAGGGGACUGGGCGUGAGCCCGCCUGGAGCCGCCGUCGGUGCAGAUCUUGGUGGUAGUAGCAAAUACUCCGGAGAGGCCCCGGAGGACUGAUGCGGAGAAGAGUUUCGCGUGAACAGCUGUUGGACGCGAGUCAGUCGAUCCUAGCCCUAGGGUAAUUCCGAAAUGCAGAGGCGGCGGCAUGUCUUUCUCUGUUAUGCACAGGCUUUGUCUGCUCACCGUUGCAAGAUGGGCGAAAGGUAAACCGGCUAAAAUUCCGGUACCCGGCAGCGGAACCGAUUGCUCUUUGAGUUGCGGACCCUUGGUGGCACCGCAAGGUGUUGCCAGGUUCGUCGCGGUAACGCGACAGGACACGGAGACGCCGGCAGGGGCCUCGGGAAGAGUUAUCUUUUCUCCAGAAGCGGCUGAGGCCCUGGAAACCUCUUGGAGGGAGAGAGGGUUUUGGCUUUUAUGCGAGGAGCGUCGCCAACACGGGGCGGCGUCCGGGGAACUUCUGCCAGGCCCUUGAAAAUCCGUGCGAGGGGAACGCGGAGGUGUCGCGCCGGAUCGUACCCAUAUCCGCAGCCAGGUCUCCAAGGUGCACAGCCUCUUGUCGAUAGAUCAAUGUAGGUAAGGGAAGUCGGCAAACCAGAUCCGUACCUUCGGAAGAAGGAUUGGCUCUG
rnacentral:rRNA from 1 species